UACAUCAUGGCAUUUAUCUCCUCACUUGCUCUGAAGAGGCAUACUUUCCAUGUGUUACCCUGCUGGUCUCCUUUAGGCACAGUUGUCCCCUGCUGAUCCCUGGCAGCCAAUUCCUUAACCUUUUCUAGCUUCCAGAUAGAAAACACAGCUUGGGAUUAUGGAUUUUUUUUUUUUUAAUACAGUUAAACAUAACAAGAUACUGUGUGUUUUAAAUCCCAAAGCCUUUGUUUGAGCCCAUUGACACAGCUGUGACGGGACUAUUAUACCCUCUAGCUGUCCAAAACUUAUUUUUCUUUUAGGAGCUUGUCUUGUUUUUCCUGAGCAGACUCACUGUAUGCACCAUAUUAUCCAUACAAAAACUCUGCUGUUACAGCCUCUUACUGACAGCAUGUUUGUGGAAUUUUUUGAACUGGAAAAGGGAAGUUCUCAAUGUCCCAGUUUCUGGCUAUGACACCUGGACAGGUCUCCUUUCUGCCACUCUCACACACUUCCUGUUAGGAGAUGAGAGGCAGCAAAGCUGCAUGUGAGGGGUUUUCAGUUCCAGUUUACUCUGUGCCUCCAUCAUUUGAGCCUCUUCAACACCAUGAGUGAAGCUGGACUGAAACUUUAACACAGGCCUGAAGUUUCAGCUGCCUUCAAGAGGGAUAGUCCUUAAUGCAGAGUUCUGUGCUUUCCCAGAUUGGACCCCUACUGAUUAAAAGGCAUUUUUGAAAAGCCAGUCAUGGUGGGUGAUGUUUUACAAUGGAAGCUGUUUAAAAAGAUAAUUAAAAGAAUAAUUGCUAUAAUGAAAAUUUAACAGGUCUAAAAAAAUUUACCAAAACUAUCACAGCUGUCUUCCAUGACUUUAAGUUUCUUCUUUUCUUAAAAGCCAAGAUAUUAAAGGUUUUCCAGCUUUACCACACAGUGCUGCAGUUUUAGAUUUGUGGACAGACUGAGUGAUCUUCAGCCAGCAUCUGAACCCACAGCCUCCCAUCCUGGUUUCUCUUCAUUACCACUACAUCACAUCUUCUACAAAGUCAGAUUUUUCCAGUCAGUGCUGCAUGGCCCUUUCUGAAAUGCACGUUCACAGCAGCAGCAAUGCACAAAGACAAGCAAAUUGCCAUGUCACACGAGGGCAUCACAGCGUUACGUAAGGGGGCUCCCUCUGAGUUAUUAGUUUUAUGUCAGUUUUGGCAUACGCUCAAAUGAAACAUGGAAAAGACUAGAUAAGGAGUGAAGAAUGAAUUGCCUUCAUUAAUAUUCAACCACGGUUUUUAGUUUCAUUAUGACCUGCUCUUAUGAAGAGCUGAACAGAGCGAAAGCCAGUCGCUGUGUCCACUGGGCCGUGACAACUUACGUGGCUCUGAUUAAUAGGCCUAAAAAAACCCCUUUGGUGACACACAAGGUCUCUGCUCUGAGCCAAGGUGCCUCAAGGAGAGCUGGAAACAAACCCAACUUGUUCUCAUUGAAUAACAUACUCGCUGUCAUCAUCAGAAUGAAUAGGGAAUUAAUUUUGCUGAGUUUGGGGCACACAAGAGCAGUGCAAGUACAGCAGUAUUUCAGACUGGAAAAUGGGAUAAACAUUUUUAGAUGAAAUGAGACUGUUUAUAAAUUAAAAACGUAGAUUUUUAUAAAUCUCUUUCAAGCAAACAAUUGACAUAAACAAGCACUAGCCUUAACUAUUAGAUUUUAAAUAUUAGUAUCAUUUGAGGGUUAAAAUUUAAAUAACUAAUUAAAUUCAUUCUACUCUUUAAACAGACUAUUGCAUAAGUUUAACUAUCAGUGAAUACACAUCUUAAAGUAUAUGUAGAUUAACUACAGUAGAACUGCGUCAAUUUUCAGCCAUUCACAUUUAGGUUUUAUUACUUUUCCCACAGAUCAAGACCAUUAUAUGACAUAGGGGAAGCAUGAAGAAAUGUGUUUCAUUAAGGAUCUUUUAUAUAACCUACUUCUCUCUGCGUAAUCACAAAACUACAUACUAUUUUUUCAAAUUGUGGUCAGAGUAAAGGUGAUAUGCAAGUAAUUCCAAUACUUAGGCCUGAAGACCUGGGGCAUACUGACUGGAGAAUAGAAGCAGGCUGUCAGUGGAGGGCUAAUGAAUUCAGAAAUGCUGAGAGGUGUGCUCUAUUUGCUUAAAUCUGUUAAAACUUAACUGAUGUCAAUGAGAUGGCUUCUAGCAAAUAUUCUAUAUGUAUAUGAAAUAUUCCCAUGUUGGAAAUGUAUGGUUCUACAUAAGAUAAAUUCGUAUUUCCCAUAUGACUGUGUGUAACAGUAAGUUUUAAUUGUACCCCUUUAUAUAUUUUACAUAAACAAAAUUUGCUCCUACACCAGAUUAAAAUGGUGGCUUCAGAAAAAAAGCAGGGACAAACACACUUGUUACAACGAUGAUUGGGGUUAGCACCUUUUCUAAAUACUAACAAAGACUUUUUGAAAGGAAAGUAAGUCAGUUUCAGAAAUAUCAGUGCUGAGAACUUAUUCUUUUGCAGAAUUACUUAUUUUUAAAAAAUUUGCCUGAGGGGGCUUAAUGAGAAAUCUAUAUUAUUAACACCAGAGGAUUUACUUGAGACUAAUCCAAAGACAAAAGUAAGAAAACUCCAUCGUCUUUCCUGUCCUGUUUCAGUGGCAGCUGUCAACUGCCAUGAAGCAGCCGUGUUUAGUUUUAUGUUAGCAAAAUGUAUGUGUUAAGAAGAUAUAAAAUCUGCCAUUCUGAGAUAUAGGUUGUGUAAGACUGAAGAAAAGCAAUUACCUGAAUUUGGGUAUAUACGCAGGAUAAAAAUGUGGUGCACUGCUCUGCAUUUCUGGACAUUUUGCUGCCAAGGACUCCAAAAGAAAUGUGCAUUCAGGGCAUAACCUCUUCAGUUAAGGAAGGACUUUUUAUUAUCUCUAAUGGGGAUAAAAGUGAUCUAUGUUGAAAGUAGGUAUUUUGUGUCUGACAAAGGAAUUGAAAACUUAAGAAUCAGUUACAGAAACUUUCUCUUUGCUCCCUCCACUGUCUCAGGAAACUGUACUGAAUUGGCUUCUCACAUUGUGGGCAAGCCUGCACAGCCAAUGGCACUGGAGGGUUCCACAGCCAGGGCCUGUGAGGAAGAUAAGUAGCAGCAAUAAAAUCUUUCUAAGCCAGUUCCAACAAAAGUGUCAUCUUCAAUACUGAACAUCUCAACAGAAGGCAUUUGCAACACUGAAAUAGAUGGGUUUAUAAAACUGAGAUUUAGAGAUGAGCUAUCUUCACUUGAAUGCAGUAGUUGCAGUAUUGUAAAAGGAUUUUUUUUUAAUCUUAUUAAAAUGCAUAGUCCACAUUUUUCUUACAUGCUGUUAUGGGAAGAUGGCACUUAGCUCUCCUAAGAGUCAAACAUGGCUUUGCAGAAUAGAACAAUGUUAACAAUUAAAUAUAGUGAUUAUGAAGAAGAGUUUUAGAAUAUUUCAAAACAUGGACUCUCUGUAGUAUGUAUUUUUAUACUGGUUUAACGUCUCAAGUAACAUAAGAAUCAUACUAAGGUAUUACAAGCAAUCUGAAAUCCACUGCAAAUAGCUCUAUUUUAACUCAGAAAUUCACACUGAAUUCUUUCACAGCACUGAGAAUGAAUUCAGGAAAAUAAAUAUCGAAGGAGAAAUAUGGAUUUAAUUGUUCUUGCUGUUACGUUGCUAAAAUAAAACAGCUGUGAUCACAUACUCAGAUAAAACCAUUGUUUAACAAAUAUUUUUAUUAAGCAUCUCUGUAGUGGAGAUGAGUCCAGCUCCCCAAGAGCAGAGCAGGCUGCUUCCCAGACCACCCAUUGCUCGGAGGUGAAAGAGCCCAUCCAGCUGUAGGGGGGUGGGGAAGGGGAUCAGACACACUGCACACCACGGCAGGCAGGGAGCAGCUCCUGUUUGCUCCCAGCCACAUUGAACUGCAACAACUGGAGCUUCACAUGCAAGGAAACGUGUCACAGUCUUCUACCAAAUCAUGCAUUUGACCACAGUGAUGGAAUCAAUGGGGCUUCUUGGAAGGCAUGUCCCCAAAACUGACAAGGACCCGUUCAAGCCCAGGGCAGAGAAGACUCAAAACCUGAGGUCAGCUGAUUACAGGAGGCAGAGGGGGAAAGCCAGCACAGAGGGAGGUCAGAGGUACAGCAGGGGCAGUCAGGAAAAUAAAUUGGCCACGGGUAUACAGUAAAUAAACCGUGUGUCUGGGCUGGGAAUAAAAUCCAGAAGUCCUGAUUCCUUGUCUCUGCUCUGUUGUCCCAGUCCUAAUCAGAUCCUCCCUCAAAAUGAGUUUCUAACAUAGACAGUCCAGGAGACUGAAACAUUUCUCUGUCUACAAACCAAAUGUAGCAAAAGGUAUAUAAAUGUUUCCCUUCAAACAGUCACUCCACCAUUUGUUAGGGCCUCAAAGACUUUGCUAAUAAAUACUGCACUUUUCCUCCAUGCUGGCUAUCAGAAUUCCUGAGCUUGGAAAAUUUAUCAUUCCUCUACUUAUGAACUGGUGUCAGGAUAUUUUCAAGAAUUAUUUGAAUUUAAUAUCCAGGUAAUCUUCUACAGUUCUGACAUCCACCAGUCUGUGUUUCCUAGGGUUAUUGAUGGUUUGUUGUGGUUAUCAGAUGAGUUGUAAAACAAAACAAAAAAAAAAAUUCAUGCACAACAUUUAUAAAUAUCCAAUACUGAAUGAGAUUUAUAUCACUUUUCUAUUUCAGUGAAAUAAUAAAAUCUCAGGCCAGACAGAAAAUAGAUUAGGAAAGUAUGAAGGCUCAUAUUAAUGAAAUUUUCUACAUAAAAACUACACAAUCUAAAGCAGUACAUAAGGAGACUGCAAUCUGUGUAACUGCUUCUAGUCUUUAAUUGUAAACAUGCACUGUUUACCAUGGAAUGUGCAGUGUGGUUUUUCCAAACAGAUUUUUUUGCAAACCAAUUAAGCAGAUGGUCUUAUCUAAGAAUUCAAAGUGCCAAGCAAAAAAAAAAAAAAAAAAAAAAAAAAAAA
rnacentral:lncRNA from 1 species